rnacentral:piRNA from 1 species
UACAAUGUUAUACUAUGAAUUGGUGGA